UACGGAGGGCGCAAGCGUUAUCCGGAUUCACUGGGUUUGAAGGGCGCGUAGGCGGGCUGCCAAGUUCGGGGUGAAAUCCUCCCGCUCAACGGGAGAACGGCCCCGAAUACUGGCGGUCUCGAGGGAGGUAGGGGCGUGCGGAACUAUGGGUGGAGCGGUGAAAUGCGUUGAUAUCCAUAGGAACUCCGGUGGCGAAGGCGGCACGCUGGACCUCUUCUGACGCUGAGGCGCGAAAGCCAGGGGAGCAAACGGG
rnacentral:rRNA from 1 species